rnacentral:piRNA from 1 species
UAAGGCCAGACCAGGCUGAGUGUGAC